AUGGUAACUGAGAUGGUGGAGCUCCAUAAGCUGAAGCUUGCUGAACUAAAUCAAGAAUGUCUUGCUUGUGGUUUGGAGACCAAGGGAAUAAAGCAAGAUCUUAUCCACAGACUCCAGGCAUAUCUUGAAGAACACGCUGAAGAGGAGGCAUAUGAAGAUGUACUAGGAGAUGAAACAGAAGAAGAAACAAACCUCUUGUCAAAUAGGAAGAACCCCCUGAAAAAAACUGUUGAUGUGGCAGCAGAGAAGAAAGUGGUGAAAAUUACAUCUGAAAUACCACAGGCUGAGAGAAUGCAGAGGAGGGCUGAACGAUUCAAUGUAUCUGUGAGCUUGGAGAGUAAGAAAGCUGCUCAGGCAGCUAGGUUUGGGAUUUCUUCAGUUCCAACAGAAGUCUGUCAUCUGAUAACAAACCUACAGUUAACUUGGAUAAGCCGAAGGAAAGAGCUCAAAGAUUUGGUUUGAAUGUCUCUUCGAUCUCCAGAAAGUCUGAAGAUGAUGAGAAACUGAAAAACAGGAAGGAGCAAUUUGGGAUUGUCACAAGUUCAGCUGGAACUGGAACCACAGAGGAUACAGAGGCAAAGAAGAGGAAAGGAGCAGAGUGCUUUGGGAUUGCCUGAUGAAAGGUUCUUGA